AUGCUCACUUGGGCAGCACAUAUAUAAAAUUGGAAUGAUAGAUAAGAUUAGCAUGGCCCCUGAGCAAGGAUGACAUGCAAAUUCAUGAAGCAUUCCAUAUUAAA
rnacentral:snRNA from 1 species